rnacentral:misc_RNA from 1 species
GAUGAAGAACGCAGCGAAAUGCGAUAAGUAAUGCGAAUUGCAGAAUUUCCGUGAGUCAUCGAAUCUUUGAACGCACAUUGCGCCCCCUGGUAUUCCGGGGGGCAUGCCUGUCCGAGCGUCAUUACAACCCUCAAGCUCAGCUUGGUGUUGGGCCCCGCCGCCCCGGCGGGCCCUAAAGUCAGUGGCGGUGCCGUCCGGCUCCGAGCGUAGUAAUUCUUCUCGCUCUGGAGGUCCGGUCGUGUGCUCGCCAGCAACCCCCAAUUUUUUUUCAGGUUGACCUCGGAUCAGGUAGGGAUACCCGCUGAACUUAAGCAUAUCAAUAAGCGGAGGA